UUUGGUGAUUAGUUGUGUGUUAGUGUAUCUCUGGGUCGUAUGUUCGAAUCCUUGUGUGUGCGUUUUGGAGAAAUACUUUUAUUUUGUUAAGUAGCAGAUUUGUUUUAAGUUUAAAAAUAAUAAUUUUGUUUUAUUUUUAUUUUUACUUUUGUUAUGGCUUUUCUUUCUUUUCACGUUCUCCUCUCCCUCUCCUUUGUUUCCCUUUCUUUUUUAUUUAUUUAUUUUGUUUUCCUUUAUUCUUUUGGAAAACGAUGUUGUUUGUGGUUUUCAG
rnacentral:lncRNA from 1 species